rnacentral:rRNA from 1 species
CUUGCUUUCUUUGCUGGCGACCGGCGCACGGGUGAGUAACACGUAUCCAACCUGCCCUUUACUCGGGGAUAGCCUUUCGAAAGAAAGAUUAAUACCCGAUAGCAUAAUGAUUCCGCAUGGUUUCAUUAUUAAAGGAUUCCGGUAAGGGAUGGGGAUGCGUUCCAUUAGGUUGUUGGUGGGGUAACGGCCCACCAAGCCUUCGAUGGAUAGGGGUUCUGAGAGGAAGGUCCCCCACAUUGGAACUGAGACACGGUCCAA